rnacentral:lncRNA from 13 species
AUACAAUUCAGUAUUGUUAGCUAUAGGCAAGGUGCUGUACAGUGGGUCUCUAAGACUUCCUUAUCUUGCAGAGCUGAAAUUUUGAACACUUUGAUCACCACCACCCCAUUUCUUCUACCCCCAGCUGCUGGCAAUCACGAUUCUACUCUCUGCUUCUUCACUGAAGACAACAGCGGUGCUGAUAUGAGGACUAAAUGACACAGUGGCUGCAAAGCACCCAGCGAGAGUGAUCAGAAGGCAGAUACUCAAGACUUCUUAUUCAGGACUCUGCACUUCCGAGUUAGCACCAGAAUGAUUUCUCAUUUUUGUGAACAUCAAAAGGCCUGUUUUUUACCCUCCCCAUCCACACCUUUUCUUUCUGCCUCCUGUCCCUAAGGAUAGCAAUAAAACAUAUCUGGAAGCCCA